rnacentral:tRNA from 1 species
GCCAGUGUGGUGUAGUGGUUUGAGCAUUGGACUGUGACUCUGGAGACCAGGAUUCAAAUCCCUGCUUGGCA